GUUACAGGGAGGGAGGGGUGCGUGAGUUGGUCGCCGUUCUGUCCAUGUUGCUGCUGUGGGAGUGCUAGCCGCCGGUCUUUCUUCUUCUUUCUCUUCCCCUGCUUCACCGGCGAUGAACUUCUCCUUCUUCUCUCUUCGAUUGCAGCAGUAACGCCGGAAUCUUCUUCUCCCUUCUCCGUUCACGCCGUCUGUGCUUGCUUCAAGUUCCGAUAUGAAUUUCUUUCUCUUUCUGUAAGCUUUGGUUCAGGUUCAGCUUCUCUCUCUGCUCCAGCCUUUGCGUUUGAACGCACUUAGAACAGAGAAUCCCUAAAGAAAGCAAGUUCAGUUGACCGGUACAGGAAGGGAGGGGUGCGUGAGUUGGUCGCCGUUCUGUCCAUGUUGCUGCUGUGGGAGUGCUAGCCGCCGGCCUUUCUUCUUCUUUCUCUUCCCCUGCUUCACCGGCGAUGAACUUCUCCUUCUUCUCUCUUCGAUUGCAGCAGCUUUGGUUCAGGUUCAGCUUCUCUCUCUGCUUCAGCCUUUGCGCUUGAAGGCACUUAGAACAGAGAAUCCCUAAAGAAAGCAAGUUCAGUUUACCGGUACAGGAAAAGAGCCACGAGUGACACGUGGAGGAGUCCUAGAGGUUUAAUGGUAUAGAUCCACUGUCUCUUUUGAGUAUUUGAUUUAUGAUUUAUAAUGUUUUAUAUUGCCAAUAUUAGAGCUUUUUGUUUAUUGACAAUUAUAUGAAUAUAUGAUGUAAUCAUGCCUUUCAAAUUAUUUCUAUUUUUAGUACAAUUUGGAUGACUGUAAUUUUAAUAUUUGGUUUACUUUGGAUUGGUUAAAAUGGCAUGAUUAUGAGGCCAAAUAACUGACUUGUUUUAAAAAUUAAUUAAAUUAUUUAUUUUACUUGUUGGGAGUAUAAGGAUGGAUAAAUGUGAUUUAGUUUACUUGUUGGGAGUAUAAGGAUGGACAAAUGUAAUUUAGCCUAAUGGCAUGUGGGAGGUAAAAAUUUAGUUGAAAUGUUAUAUUGUGCGAGUUGAAGUCAAUUAUAAAAUAUUUUUAUAUUGAAAUUAUUGAUAUAAAAUGUGUUGGGUGGCUGUAAUCCAACUAUGGUUGAGUUAAAUUAUUUAAAAAAAAUUGGAGUGUUACAAAUCUUAGUAUCAGAGCUACAUGUUUCAAAAUUCUUAUAAAUUAUGAAGUUGUUAUACAUUAACUUAGUUUAUUAGCAAUAUACAUUAUUAAAUCAUAAUGCUUCUUCAUUAUUUUUCUUAUCUUGAGAUUAAUGUUGAUUUAAUUAUGUGACUUCCAUCCUUUAGGAGGGGAGAGAUGAUGUCCAAAAUUAGAAGAGGUGGUGAAAUUACCGGUAAUUCUAUAAAGCCAAUAGGAAAUGACAUAUCUUUACUGCC